GGGGCUGUAGCUCAGUGGUAGAGCGCCAGCCUCGCAUGUAUGAGACACUGGGUUCAAUCCUCAGCACCA
rnacentral:tRNA from 1 species